AUACGUAGGUGGCAAGCGUUGUCCGGAAUUAUUGGGCGUAAAGCGCAUGUAGGCGGUGCCUUAAGUCUGUCGUGAAACUGCGGGGCCUAACCCCGUAUGGCGAUGGAAACUGUGGCACUUGAGUGCAGGAGAGGAAAGGGGAACUCCCAGCGUAGCGGUGAAAUGCGUAGAUAUUGGGAAGAACACCGGUGGCGAAGGCGCCUUUCUGGACUGUGUCUGACGCUGAGAUGCGAAAGCCAGGGUAGCGAACGGGAUUAGAUACCCCGGUAGUCCUGGCCGUAAACGAUGGGUACUAGGUGUGGGAGGUAUCGACCCCUUCCGUGCCGGAGUUAACGCAAUAAGUACCCCGCCUGGGGAGUACGGCCGCAAGGCUUAAACUCAAAUGAAUUGACGGGG
rnacentral:rRNA from 1 species